CGAGUUCCCGUACGAUCACCGAAGUUAAGCUACGUCGAGCCUGGUCAGUACCUAGAUGGGUAACCAUUUGGGAAUACCAGGUGCUGUAAG